UCAGGUUUAUUUGAGUGGCAGUCAUUUAGUAAAAAAUUCAAGUGAGUCUGGGGCAGGGAUGAUUAUUAAUGAACUAAGUGUUUCUUUUAUUAGACAAUGGAGAAAAGGAUGUGCUUGUGUGAAUGUGAAUGUGGGGGGAAAGGGGGUAGAAAUGGAAUCCCAAGGCCUUUUCCUUUUGUAGGAUCACUCUAGCCAUAUAGAGCUAUACACUGCUUUUUGAGGGAUUAUUAUCUAGAAGACUUGCAAACGUAAUAAAACUAAGCCAAACCAUCGUGAAGCUAUCCUUUUGUUUCCGUUCCCUCAACAACUGUAAUUUAUUGCUUAGUUUUUUCAGUAGGGUGACGUCCCAUUUUUGAGGUGGCAAGGGCCCCAUCAAUGUUGAUGGGCAUAGCCAUUCAAAUGGUGUGUGUGUUGUGAAUGAUUAUGUGGGGCGGGGCUUACCUGAGCCCCCCAAUAUUUUGUUCAUGUUGGCACCCCUGAUGUAGUGAUUAACAAGUUAUUGAUUGAUGUUAUAAAGCAUUGACUUCUGCUGAGUCAUAUUACUACCCUUGUCUAGCCCUCAAUAAUGUAUCUUUCACUGUUCAGGAAAAAACCUCCCUCUACUAGCAAAAGAUCAGAGUUCAGUAUACUAUAGUAGAAAGUUACAUUGAUGGCAGCUAGCCCAAGGAAUCAGGAUAAAUCAUGUUGUUGCAUUCUUCUCUUUUGAGGCACUUUUUAAAAUCAGUGUUUGUGACCUUUCCAAGCCCUUUCCCACACGCUCCAUGCGUUUGAUGGUCCUGUGAAUUAGGAGGCCAGCACAAUAGUAAACCCGAUGUCAGCAACCUUUUGGGGCAAAUAGAAAUGCUACACACAAAAUGGCUCCCAUGUGGAGUGGCAUCACACAAAAUGGCCGUCACAUCCAAAAGAGCAGGAGCUCACUAUUUACUCUGCAUCCAGUGUGCUCCUGCUACUGGUUUGGGAAGCAGUGAGCACAUGAUGGAUUUCCUCGUUUAUAACAUGAAAAAGAAGACCUCACAGUGGAUUGGCUUAAGAUACAUGACAACAGAAAUGGCAUGGAAGUGGGUGGAUGGCACAAAUGCCUCUUACACCACUGGCUCUAUGGAUGGAAAUAUGGUCUUCUCUACUUCGCUGUUCAGCUUUGUUGUUGGGAGAGCAGCAUGCAAAUACUAAAUCAAAAGCAGCACCUGAAAGAAAAGCAUCAGAAAUGGCACUGCAGGGGCAAAGGGCUUUUCUCGGUGGGUGGGGAAGGAGGUGAGCAUGUGAAGAGUAUUGGUGUACAUCCUCAAUCAGUUACAGAAUGCUAUGAACAAAUGCUCUAGAUCAGUUUAUUGCUCUGGAUCUGGUGUGUGUGUGUGUGUGUGUGCGCGCGCGCACGUCCACUCAUGAGAAUCCUUCCAGAAGGGUACUCCAAAACACACAGCCAUCUAUUAUUGCAGCAACAACAGGCCACACAACAGAGACACAAACAUGGAGCCCACAAAGCCGUGCCCUCCUCCAUUCUACAUAGGUGUGACUUUGCCCCAAAGGAAAAAUGAAUCACAUCAGAAAGGGCCAUACUCUGAAACCAGCAGACUUCCAGGACACCCCAACACAGACCUCAAGGUCAUGAACCAGAGGAGGAAAACUUCAUCAUGAACUUGCUGAAUGAACACUUAUCAGGAAAUUCAAGUGUAUUUCAUCUGGUCUGCAUUAAGAUCAUGGGGUUUGAAUCCUCUGCAGGUUUUCAUUAGCCAAUAAAUAGCAGGAUGCUGUCCUCA